UAUGUUACCUAAUGAUGGUACAGUGUGUUUUAUCAGUAUGGUGGAACAAAUCGACAGUACAAUUGCUGUUAAAACUAAAAAUGGUGAAGUUCAACGUUGUCGAGUAAUUUUGACAAAUAAUAAAGACUGGAAGGUUCAAGUUACUAUAUGGGGCAAUAACAUAAAUCGAGUUAUACAUAACUUUAAAACAUCAUUUGUGGUACAUGUAUCCGGAGCUUUUUCUCAAAAACGUUAUUCUAAGAGUUUAGGAAAUGUCCCUAUGGAUUUAACUAUCAAAGAUUAUACAGUUGUGAAUGUCAUUGGAAAAAUUCGAGAAUAUGAGGAAACUAAAAUUUAUGAACCAGUUACUAUUCAAAACAUUUUAAAUUCUAA